AAUUUUUGACAAUGGGGGAAACCCUGAUCCAGCCAUCCCGCGCGUAUGAUGAAGGCCUUCGGGUUGUAAAGUACUUUUGGCAGAGAAGAAAAGGUACCUCCUAAUACGAGGUACUGCUGACGGUAUCUGCAGAAUAAGCACCGGCUUACUACGUGCCAGCAGCCGCCGUAAGACGUAGGGUGCAAGCUGUAAUCGGAAGUACUGGGCGUAAAGCGUGUGUAGGCGGUUCGGAAAGAAAGAUGUGGAAUCCCAGGGCUCAACCUUGGAACUGCAUUUUUAACUGCCGAGCUAGAGUAUGUCAGGGGGGGGUAGAAUUCCACGUGUAGUAGUGAAAAGCGUAGAUAUGCGGAGGAAUACCGAUGGCGAAGGCAGCCCCCUGGGAUAAUACUGACGCUCAGACACGAAAGCGUGGGGAGCAAACAG
rnacentral:rRNA from 1 species